UGGAUGAGUGGCGAACGGGUGAGUAACACGUGAGUAACCUGCCCCCUUCUUUGGGAUAACGCCCGGAAACGGGUGCUAAUACUGGAUAUUCACUGAUCUUCGCAUGGGGGUUGGUGGAAAGGGUUUUUUCUGGUGGGGGAUGGGCUCGCGGCCUAUCAGCUUGUUGGUGGGGUGAUGGCCUACCAAGGCUUUGACGGGUAGCCGGCCUGAGAGGGUGGCCGGUCACAUUGGGACUGAGAUACGGCCCAG
rnacentral:rRNA from 1 species